UACACGAUGAUGUGUACAUCGAUUUGAACGAACUUUCGUGGACAAAAUUUUGCAUCAGAAGUCACACAUGGUUGGGCCAUGUGGGUUUGGGCGGUAAGUUGGAUCGACAGGCGCAUUGUCAGUGCGAUUAAUCGAACGAUAAGUUGGACCCGUACACCGAGGAGAGUGAUUGACGCCACCACGAUAAGGCUUGAUGGCGAGCGAGAGAGAGAGAGAGAGAGAGAGAGAGAGAGAGAGAGAACGCAAUGUGGAAAAAGUUGAAUAGUUUAACGGGAUUUAACUUUCUAUAAUUGUACUUUUUUCCACGAGAUCAACGGUGCAAUUGCAUUUCGAAUAAAACUUUUUUACAUAAAUCGAAUCCUUUUAUCAGUCGAGGUUUCAAAUUCUUCUUCCCAAUUUUUUUUUUUUUUUUUUUUUUUUUUUUUUAGAAUAAAACGAGAAUAGUAGAAUGUUCAUUUUUCGCGCAAAGUAAGAGAAUCAUUGCGAUAAAAAAUUUUUUUUAUUGACCAUUUUUCCAUAAAAAGAUUGUAAAGUUUCAAUG